rnacentral:rRNA from 1 species
UGAGGAAUAUUGCACAAUGGGCGCAAGCCUGAUGCAGCGACGCCGCGUGUGGGAUGAAGGGGCUACGCCUCGUAAACCACUGUAGCCCGGGACGAAAAACGCCUUAGAGGCGUUAGACGGUACCGGGAAAGUAAGGGUCGGCUAACUACGUGCCAGCAGCCGCGGUCAUACGUAGGACCCAAGCGUUGUCCGGAUUUACUGGGUGUAAAGGGUGCGCAGGCGGAUGGGUAAGUCAGGGGUGAAAGUCUGCAGCUUAACUGUAGAAUUGCCUUUGAUACUGCUCAUCUUGAGUGUGGGAGAGGUUGAUUGAAUUCCAGGUGGAGCAGUGAAAUGCGUAGAUAUCUGGAAGAACACCAGUGGCGAAGGCGGUCAACUGGCCCAUAACUAACGCUCAUGCACGAAAGCGUGGGGAGCAAACA